UACGGAGGGUGCAAGCGUUACCCGGAAUCACUGGGCGUAAAGGGCGUGUAGGCGGCUUAUUAAGUCUGGCUUUAAAGACCGAGGCUCAACCUCGGGAGUGGGCUGGAUACUGGUGAGCUAGACGACUGGAGGGGAGGGUGGAAUUCUCGGUGUAGCGGUGGAAUGCGUAGAUACCGAGAGGAACACCAGUGGCGAAGGCGGGUCUCUGGGCCGAUACUGACGCUGAGGAGCGAAAGCGUGGGGAGCGAACAGG
rnacentral:rRNA from 1 species